UACGUAGGGGGCGAGCGUUGUUCGGAUUUACUGGGCGUAAAGGGCGCGUAGGCGGUCAGCACAAGUCAGUUGUGAAAUCUCCGGGCUUAACUCGGAAAGGUCAACUGAUACUGUGCGACUAGAGUGCAGAAGGGGCAACUGGAAUUCUCGGUGUAGCGGUGAAAUGCGUAGAUAUCGAGAGGAACACCUGCGGCGAAGGCGGGUUGCUGGGCUGACACUGACGCUGAUGCGCGAAAGCCAGGGGAGCGAACGGG
rnacentral:rRNA from 1 species